CAUGACCACAUCCCCAGAGUUCGGCAGACCCUGUAAAUACGAUUCUUAAACCCUAAUUUCAUUUUUUUUCUCUAAUUUUUCAUUUUUUCGUAGCAAUCUUUCAUCAAUGGAGGAGAUUCAAAAAUCCCUUUCUCCACAAAACCCUUGUAUUCUUCCUGUUCAUAUAUAAAGGUUAGACUUGUUUUCAUCAUCUCCAUAGAUCACAACCAUUCUUCUUCUUCUUCAUUUCAAAACCACAUCUAAUCCGGACACUGUAAACCUUAUUUGAAGCUCAUCCUUUCAUUUGAUACUCAUAAAACCCUUAAACCCAAAUUUGAUUAUUUCAAAUCUAUAGAUAUUUCUAGACUUGAACUUGUUAAAGUCUUAUUAGAAAACCCUAUAAUUCCUUUUUUUCGAUUUCAUCAAGAAGAUUGUUGGUACUGACAGAUACACAUUUGUUGUUCUUGAGCGAACAUGGUUUCCUCCUGUAGGGCUAAUUGAGAAAGUGAUGCUCAAUAUACAAGUUUUGAGAGAUGAAGGUGUCCAUUCAAUGAAAUAUUGUAAAGUUUCUAGUCAUCCAGCCAACGGCACCAAUGAUAAGAACUGUUAAAUGCAAGGACAUUGUACAAGAAAUUAAGGGCGUGAGCUUCGAUCAUCUUCGGGAACUGCAUUUCUUAGUGCUAUUCAUUCAGGUGUUCGCAUCAUUGACUGAAUCAACUCGGGAGACAAAGUUGAAUGCUUACAGGAAAUGGGGUUGGUUAGAAGAACAAAUUGAAUAUGUGUUAUAUCCGACCUGUAUGAAGCACUCUGGGGAGAAAAUUUUUGGGGACUAUGGAUUACAUUGUGAAUUAAAUGGGUAUAGGUUCCUUGCUUAUUGCCAGAUGCCCCGUGAUUUUAAAUUAUAGCUUGGAAAAGAGGCUUGCCUCUAAAUAUCAUCAUGCUGAGAUGAGAAAUCAAGCAUAAAGGACAUAUACUGUUUGGAUGCAGAUGGCUCACUCUUCGAUGCUGCAUUCUCCAGUUUGUGCAUCUCUGUUGUGUCUAUGAAUGAUGAGGCAGAAGUAAUUGCUUUAUCAGUUGGAAACAAAGAGAACAAGACAGUGCACCAGCCACGAGACUUACUCUUCAAUCUCGUUGACAUGCAUUCUUUACAAGAAGUAUAUAUUAGCAGACCCUAACUCAGAGGAGAAUCCAUCAUCGAAACCCUUGUGGCGGUGCUGUUGGAUUCGUCAAAUAGGCUUAUCUUAUCUUUCCGCUCAAACGUAGUAGACCAUUUCUUGCAUCGUCAUUGGUAGUUCAGUGUGCAUCUCUGUUGUGUCUAUGGAUGAUGAGGGAGAAGUAAUUGCUUUGCCAGUUGGAAACAAGGAGAACAAGACAGUACACGAGCCACUCAACAAAGAAAGGAGUAGACUUACUCUCAGCUGCAUUCCAUUCUCUUUGACAUGCAUUUUUCGCAAGAAGUAUAUCUUGGCAAACACAUCAUCGAAACUCUUGUGACGGUGGUGUUGGAUUCGUCUCAUAGGCUUAUCUUUCUGUUCAAACCUAGUAGACCAUUUCUUGCCUCCACAUCAGUAGUUCAGUGCAACUUGUGCCAGAAACAGAAGUUGCUGUUGCACCAAAGAGACUCAAGAAAAACAUUGAUUUCCAUGAAGAUGUCCCUGUACAAGGUUCGGAGGGAAAAGAAUCUGUGAAAUUGGUACUUUUACGCGUUCAAGAUCCUGGCAGAAAAUUGUUCUGGAGAUCUAAUUUUAAUGGUGUUGACCUGCACGUUGGCUACCGUCUUUUGUCUUUAUUCAUCUUGAUACAGCCAAAACAUGAUGCAAGAGUGAAAUGAUGUUGGUGCUGCUGUAGAAAGAUGGGUCUGAGAUGGAAUUAGAUCUGUUGAGUUAUGAGGGUUCAGAUCGAGAACUUAAGGUGGAUUGAGCUUCUGCAGACUGAAUUGAAGUUGUUGCAGUAAAGCAAGAAGCAAUAGGGGUUUCCCUGAGUUCAGGAAAUGGAGGAGAUGGUUCUGGUGGUGUUUGUUGCUAAGAAAAUUGGUGGUCUGUGGUGGUUUGCUGCUAUGAUUUGUGUGGGUUUUGAACAAGUUCUGAACCGAGAAGACAAGGGAACAACUAUUGUGUUGCUGCUGAUUUUCAUGGAUGUGUCUGCCAAGGGUUUGAGUAAAUAGAAGGCUGAAUGGUGUUGUUGCAGUAGCAGAAUGAUUGAAUUAAUUAGAUAUAGCUGAGAAAGGCCUGAAAAAAGGAAGGAAAUCCACCAUAAAACAGACAGAACUCUGCCGGUUUGCUGCUCCAGCGAGUUAACUCAGUACCCGGUGAUGACCCACCCAACCCAGUUGAAUAAGACCAUUCAAUCAAGUCAGAUCCCAAUCCCUUUGACUGACUCAGACCAUAAUCCCUUUGACUGGUAGUUGAUCAUGAAGUUUACAGCCUGCUGUUAGUUGACCAGGUGACAGCUAGAAGAACAUUCCGGUGACUUCUAGCCGGAUUCUGGCAUCACCAUAAUAUCCCGGAUUCUAUCUCAUUGUCCAAGUAGUGGUCCUGCUAAUCUGAAUUUGUUAACCGACUCUGGAAUUCCAUUUCUGAUUUUGAAUUUGAUUAGGUUGAUGAAUAGUAAAGAGAAAUCCUCAUGUUAAAAUCAGCCAACAGUUUUGCCUCUACUUGGUAGAUGGACAUAAUUUUGAUCUCCAGUAGAUUAAGAUAUAAAACAGCAGUCUUGCUGGACCCACGGAAGAAUUUGCACCGUGAAAUGCACGGAGAGAGAUCGCACGGACACAGGGCAGCGUUCCCAUCCAUCCUUUCGCAUGGGUCCAUUUUCCUUAGGAAAUUCAUUUUACUACUUUGCUCGACUAUAUGGUGUUUCCAGCCUGCAGCAGUACCGUUUGAAAUAAUCCAUGAAGCCGAAUUAAAUUCACUGAUGCUGCUUAUGUUUUGUAAAUUUCUAUAGCCAUGGUUACAUUAUUCAUUUGGUUUUGCCCACUUCA